GGGCUUGUGGUUUAGUGGUAUAAUUUUCCCUUAGCACUACUUUAGCACGGUUGAAUGACCUUCAGCUGAUGCCAAGUAAGUGGGAAAGGUCCUGGGUUCGAUUCCCAGCAAGUCCA